rnacentral:rRNA from 1 species
UACGUAGGGUGCAAGCGUUGUCCGGAAUUAUUGGGCGUAAAGAGCGUGUAGGCGGUCCGGUAAGUCCGUUGUGAAAGUCAGGGGCUCAACCCUUGAAUGCCGGCGGAUACUGUCGGGCUAGAGUCCGGAAGAGGCGAGUGGAAUUCCUGGUGUAGCGGUGAAAUGCGCAGAUAUCAGGAAGAACACCCGUGGCUAAGGCGGCUCUCUAGUACGGUACUGACGCUGAGACGCGAAAGCGUGGGGAGCGAACAGG